rnacentral:rRNA from 1 species
AUUGAACGCUGGCGGCAGGCCUAACACAUGCAAGUCGAACGAGUGGCGGACGGGUGAGUAAUGUCUGGGAAACUGCCCGAUGGAGGGGGAUAACUACUGGAAAAGGUAGCUAAUACCGCAUACCAUCGGAUGUGCCCAGAUGGGAGUAGCUAGUAGGUGGGGUAACGGCUCACCUAGGGGACGAUCCCUAGCUGGUCUGAGAGGAUGACCAGCAACACUGGAACCGAUACACGGUUCAGAACCCUACGGGAGGCAGCAGGGGGGAAUAUUGCACAAUGGGCGCAAGCCUGAUGCAGCCAUGCCGCGCGUAUGAAGAAGGCCUUCGGUUUGUAAAGUACUUCCAGCGCGGAGGCGUUACUCGCAGAAGAAGCACCGGCUAACUCCGUGCCAGCAGCCGCGGUAAUAC